rnacentral:rRNA from 1 species
AGAGUUUGAUCAUGGCUCAGAACGAACGCUGGCGGCAUGCCUAACACAUGCAAGUCGAGCGGUAAGGCCCUUUCGGGGGUACACGAGCGGCGAACGGGUGAGUAACACGUGGGUGACCUGCCCUCAGCUCUGGGAUAAGCCCGGGAAACUGGGUCUAAUACCGGAUAUGACUCCACGGUGCAUGUCGUGGGGUGGAAAGCCUUGUGCGGCUGAGGAUGGGCCCGCGGCCUAUCAGCUUGUUGGUGGGGUGAUGGCCUACCAAGGCGACGACGGGUAGCCGGCCUGAGAGGGCGACCGGCCACACUGGGACUGAGACACGGCCCAGACUCCUACGGGAGGCAGCAGUGGGGAAUCUUGCGCAAUGGGCGAAAGCCUGACGCAGCGACGCCGCGUGAGGGAUGACGGCCUUCGGGUUGUAAACCUCUUUCAGCUCCGACGAAGCGGAAGUGACGGUAGGAGCAGAAGAAGCACCGGCCAACUACGUGCCAGCAGCCGCGGUAAUACGUAGGGUGCAAGCGUUGUCCGGAAUUAUUGGGCGUAAAGAGCUCGUAGGCGGUCUGUCGCGUCGGCUGUGAAAACUCGGGGCUCAACUCCGAGCUUGCAGUCGAUACGGGCAGGCUAGAGUUCGGCAGGGGAGACUGGAAUUCCUGGUGUAGCGGUGAAAUGCGCAGAUAUCAGGAGGAACACCGGUGGCGAAGGCGGGUCUCUGGGCCGAUACUGACGCUGAGGAGCGAAAGCGUGGGGAGCGAACAGGAUUAGAUACCCUAGUAGUCC